GAACGAGAUUAGGGACUUCGGUCCCUAUGAAAGUGGCGCACGGGUGCGUAACGCGUAUGCAACCUACCUUAAUCAGGGGGAUAGCCCGAAGAAAUUCGGAUUAAGACCGCAUAAAAUCACAUCACGGCAUCGUGAAAUGAUCAAAUAUUUAUAGGAUUAAGAUGGGCAUGCGUGACAUUAGUUAGUUGGUGAGGUAACGGCUCACCAAGACGACGAUGUCUAGGGGAUCUGAGAGGAUGACCCCCCACACUGGUACUGAGACACGGACCAGACUCCUACGGGAGGCAGCAGUAAGGAAUAUUGGUCAAUGGACGAAAGUCUGAACCAGCCAUGCCGCGUGCAGGAAGACGGCCCUACGGGUUGUAAACUGCUUUUGUCGGGGAAUAAACCUUCGUACGUGUACGAAGCUGAAUGUACUCGAAGAAUAAGGAUCGGCUAACUCCGUGCCAGCAGCCGCGGUAAUACGGAGGAUCCAAGCGUUAUCCGGAUUUAUUGGGUUUAAAGGGUGCGUAGGCGGUCUUGUAAGUCAGGGGUGAAAGACGGUGGCUCAACCAUCGCAGUGCCUUUGAUACUGCAGGACUUGAAUGAACCUGAGGUAGGCGGAAUGUGACAAGUAGCGGUGAAAUGCAUAGAUAUGUCACAGAACACCAAUUGCGAAGGCAGCUUACUAAAGUUUAAUUGACGCUGAGGCACGAAAGCGUGGGGAUCAAACAGGAUUAGAUACCCUGGUAGUCCACGCCCUAAACGAUGAAUACUCGAUGUUAGCGAUAUACAGUUAGCGUCUAAGCGAAAGCGUUAAGUAUUCCACCUGGGGAGUACGCCCGCAAGGGUGAAACUCAAAGGAA
rnacentral:rRNA from 1 species